rnacentral:misc_RNA from 1 species
GAUGAAGAACGCAGCGAAAUGCGAUAAGUAAUGUGAAUUGCAGAAUUCAGUGAAUCAUCGAAUCUUUGAACGCAUCUUGCGCUCCUUGGUAUUCUGAGGAGCAUGCCUGUUUGAGUGUCAUUAAAUACUCAACUACACUGACUUUGAAUUGGUGUGGCUUGGAUUUGGGGGGAAAAUUGUUGUGGGCUUUUUGUAUAGUCUGCUCCCCUGAAAUUGAUUAGCGGUACCUUUGUGGAACUGUCUACAGGUGUGAUAAUUAUCUACAUCUUAGACAUCUGCUGGAAUGCUGCUUUCUAAACCUUACUUGUAUUGACAAUCUUGACCUCAAAUCAGGUAGGACUACCCGCUGAACUUAAGCAUAUCAAUAAGCGGAGGA